rnacentral:rRNA from 1 species
AACGAACGCUGGCGGCAGGCUUAACACAUGCAAGUCGAACGCCCCGCAAGGGAGUGGCAGACGGGUGAGUAACGCGUGGGAACGUGCCUUUUGGUUCGGAACAACUUCGGGAAACUGGAGCUAAUACCGAAUGUGCCCUUCGGGGAAGAUUUAUCGCCAAAAGAUCGGCCCGCGUCAGAUUAGCUAGUUGGUGGGGUAAUGGCCUACCAAGGCGACGAUCUGUAGCUGGUCUGAGAGGAUGAUCAGCCACACUGGGACUGAGACACGGCCCAGACUCCUACGGGAGGCAGCAGUGGGGAAGUCUUGGACAAUGGGCGCAAGCCUGAUCCAGCCAUGCCGCGUGAAUGAUGAAGGCCUUAGGGUUGUAAAAUUCCUUCGUCGGGGACGAUAAUGACGGUACCCGAAGAAGAAGCUCCGGCUAACUUCGUGCCAGCAGCCGCGGUAAU